UCUGGAUGACUGGCAACGUUCUGGGAUGUAGUGGAUGGAUGAUCUUGUCAGCUUCCAUGUCUGCCAAACUCUACGUGCACCACAGAACCUGCUUCAUCUGCUUUUGUAGCCAUUGGAACAAAUUGUUCUCAUCUGCCCAUUCUGCCCUGGGGAAGUUCAUAUACUUAGUGCUAACUCACAGUUAAGACUUUAAACCUAGUUAAAACACUGUUAAAAUGUGGGUGUGUCUACGCCCAUACCUCUGGGCCUGACAACAAAUGAGACAGAGACAAUCCCAGAUACCCCAAGUCCUAACCUGCCUGGCUGCAAAACUGCCUGGGAAAAAAAGGUUUGACAAGAUGAAAAAACAGGCCUAUGGAAGCCAGAAGAUGUCCCUGGGGUCACAUGAGUGUUAAAACAUCACCUCUCCUCCAUCCCAAAUCAGAAAAAAAAAUCCUUCUACACCUUUCUCAACAAAUGGUCGUUCAGUUUUUGAUUGAAAACUUGGAGGGAAGGGAGCCGGCACUACCUGCUAAGGCACCUACUAUGUGUCAAACCCUGUGCUAGAAUUAUUUGCCUCAAUUGCUACCUAACUUUUAUUACUGAAUGGGUUCAACCUUAGUUAGACUGAGACCUGUUGAAGACUUUAGCUUAAAAAGGCCAAGAUCUCUUUUUUCAUCCAGAGCCAUCUCCAGUCAUAUUGGUCUAUAUCUUGCCCCUGGACCCAGAUGGUUCUAGAGGGGAAAGUGAGGCAGGUGACCUUGCACAACCCUCCCUCACUUAAAUCCAAUUCACACACAUGUCAUGACAUCACUUCAUUGAUGUCUUGGUUCUCUUUGAGAACGAGGACAAACAUCAACAAUUGGAGAUGCAAAACGAAAUGGGCCCUGUCCUCAGGGAGCUUAGAUUCUCUUGUACCCUUCCUUUGGGUGAAAAUGAAUUUCAUUGUGAUAUAUUGAUGUGACUGUAGGAGACAGCAUGAGCCUUGGAUUUUGGGAAGUUUGUCCCUUAAAGGAAUCUAGUGAGAUAGUAGAUAAAGGGCCAGAUGGGGAAUCAGGAAGUCCUGAGUUUGAAUCCUGCUUCAGUUACUUGCUAGCUGGAAAGUCAAUGAAGUUAUCUAGCCUUUAUUUUCCUUAUCUGUAAAAUGGGGAUAAUAGCACCCACCUCCCCAGGUUGCUGUUUUGUAGAACAAGAUUUUGGUCAUAAAUAUGUUUUGUAGAAGAUAUUAUUUGUAAACAAGAUUUUAUUUGUAAGGCACUUAGCAAAUCUUCAAGGGUGAUAGCUAUAUCAGGCCUAAAUGUGCCCUCAAGAAGUUUCUGCCUUUUAGGACCAAAGGAGACAAAACU